rnacentral:rRNA from 1 species
GUUGAACGCUGGCGGCAGGCCUAACACAUGCAAGUCGAGCGGAUGAAGGGAGCUUGCUCCUGGAUUCAGCGGCGGACGGGUGAGUAAUGCCUAGGAAUCUGCCUGGUAGUGGGGGACAACGUUUCGAAAGGAACGCUAAUACCGCAUACGUCCUACGGGAGAAAGCAGGGGACCUUCGGGCCUUGCGCUAUCUGAUGAGCCUAGGUCGGAUUAGCUAGUUGGUGAGGUAAUGGCUCACCAAGGCGACGAUCCGUAACUGGUCUGAGAGGAUGAUCAGUCACACUGGAACUGAGACACGGUCCAGACUCCUACGGGAGGCAGCAGUGGGGAAUAUUGGACAAUGGGCGAAAGCCUGAUCCAGCCAUGCCGCGUGUGUGAAGAAGGUCUUCGGAUUGUAAAGCACUUUAAGUUGGGAGGAAGGGUUGUAGAUUAAUACUCUGCAAUUUUGACGUUACCGACAGAAUAAGCACCGGCUAACUCUGUGCCAGCCGCCGCCGUAAGAC